rnacentral:rRNA from 1 species
CUAAGAAUCUUCCGCAAUGGGGGAAACCCUGACGGAGCGACGCCGCGUGGACGAAGAAGGCCGCAAGGUUGUAAAGUCCUUUUGCAGGCGAAGAAUAGGCUUAGGAGUGGAACGCCUGAGCGAUGACGUUAGCCUGCGAAUAAGCCCCGGCCAAUUACGUGCCAGCAGCCGCGGUAACACGUAUGGGGCGAGCGUUGUUCGGAAUCACUGGGCGUAAAGGGCGUGUAGGCGGUUCGAAAAGCCUGGCGUGAAAGGUGUCGGCCCAACCGACAGACGGCGCGAGGAACUGCCGGACUGGAGUCACGGAGGGGGAGCUGGAAUUCCAGGUGUAGGGGUGAAAUCUGUAGAGAUCUGGAAGAACACCGGUGGCGAAGGCGAGCUUCUGGCCGAUGACUGACGCUGAGGCGCGAAAGCGUGGGGAGCAAACAGGAUUAGAUACCCUGGUAGUCCACGCUGUAAACGAUGGGCGCUAGGUGUGGGGGGUUUUUAAUCCCUCCGUGCCGCAGUUAACGCAUUAAGCGCCCCGCCUGGGGAGUACGGCCGCAAGGUUA